UAUGUUGUGCCAGAUAAUUGGGCCACUUUGAUGUAGUGUUUAUGUGAUUUUUCACCGGCAUUU
rnacentral:tRNA from 1 species